rnacentral:SRP_RNA from 1 species
GCCAGGCAUGGUGGUGCAUGCCUGUAAUCCCAGCUACUUGGGAGGCUGAGGCAGGAGAAUUGCUUGAACCCAGGAGGCGGAGGUUGCAGUGAGCCGAGAUCGUGCCACUGCACUCUGGCCUGGGCGACAGAGCUAGACUCUGUCUCAA